AACGAACGUUAGCGGCGCGCCUAACACAUGCAAGUCGAGCGAGAAAGGGCUUCGGCCCCGGUACAGCGGCGCACGGGUGAGUAACACGUAGGUAAUCUACCCCCGAAUGGUGGAUAACCCUCCGAAAGGAGGGCUAAUACAGCAUAAGACCACGGCUUCUUCGGAGGCUGAGGCCAAAGCGGGCCUCUUAACUAAAGCUCGCGUUUGGGGAUGAGCCUGCGGCCCAUCAGCUAGUUGGCGGUGUAAUGGACCACCAAGGCUAAGACGGGU
rnacentral:rRNA from 1 species